rnacentral:lncRNA from 1 species
CGUGAUUGUGCAUUCAUUUUUUUGGGGCAUUUAUUUUUAUUGUAUCGUGUGGAUUUAAUUAAAGUUCAAUGUCAGUCAAACUGAUUUUAAAAUGAUUUUUCAAAUUUGUUUUUGAAAAUGGCUUUGGAAUAGAAGAAAGAAAAAUAGAAAAAAAGACAAAACCCUUUCCCCCUUCCUGGCCCGAAGGCCCAAACCCCCACUCGCGGCCCAACCGGCUCCCAUUCUCCCCCUCUGGCCUGGCCCAUUCUUUCCCCCAGCCCAGCCAGCCGCCCCCUCUCUUUUCCUCUCACUGGUUUCCGUGGCGCACGCGCCAGCGCUACACCCGUCUCUCCUUCUCUUGCUGACACGGAGGGCCCGCAUGUCAGCCGCAUCGUCUUCUUCCUCCUGGGG